GCCCAGGGUUCACAUUUCUGGAUGGAAGGAGUGUCUCUAUCAAGUGCCACAUGUUGUACAACAGUCGUGUUGUAGUUGUGCACACUGCACAGUGGGUCCAUCAGCUUUUGAUGCUGCAAACAACUGACUGUUGUGCCUCGAUUUCACUUCAUAAUGAUUGCAUGAUCCUGAAGCUUCAUGUGUGGCUGCAACAUGGACAAAAACACUAAGAGAGAGACUCAUGAACUCCUCUCGCCCAGCACAUUGUGCCAGAGGCUCAGCCCAGAAUCAGAUGGACAGCUUGUCUUUGCUGCGACAGAAACAGGCGACACUGGAAUUGGGAUCUCGAGGAGACAAAAAGGGAUCAGCAAUUGGACUAAACCCCCCUCCCACCUAUCACCUUAUUAGCCAAGACCAAGAAAACCCUGGAAAAAAAACUCAUAAGGGAAACAAA